UACGGAGGGGGCUAGCGUUGUUCGGAAUUACUGGGCGUAAAGCGCACGUAGGCGGCUUUGUAAGUUAGAGGUGAAAGCCCGGGGCUCAACUCCGGAAUUGCCUUUAAGACUGCAUCGCUAGAAUUGUGGAGAGGUAAGUGGAAUUCCGAGUGUAGAGGUGAAAUUCGUAGAUAUUCGGAAGAACACCAGUGGCGAAGGCGGCUCACUGGACCGGCAUUGACGCUGAGGUGCGAAAGCGUGGG
rnacentral:rRNA from 1 species